rnacentral:rRNA from 1 species
UCAGGACGAACGCUGGCGGCGUGCCUAAUACAUGCAAGUCGAGCGGAUCUUUGGGAGCUUGCUCCCAAAGAUUAGCGGCGGACGGGUGAGUAACACGUGGGCAACCUGCCUAUGAGACUGGGAUAACUCCGGGAAACCGGGGCUAAUACCGGAUAAUUCUUUUCUACACAUGUAGAAAAGCUGAAAGAUGGUUUCGGCUAUCACUCAUAGAUGGGCCCGCGGCGCAUUAGCUAGUUGGUGAGGUAACGGCUCACCAAGGCGACGAUGCGUAGCCGACCUGAGAGGGUGAUCGGCCACACUGGGACUGAGACACGGCCCAGACUCCUACGGGAGGCAGCAGUAGGGAAUCUUCCGCAAUGGACGAAAGUCUGACUGGAGCAACGCCGCGUGAGUGAUGAAGGUUUUCGGAUCGUAAAACUCUGUUGUUAGGGAA